rnacentral:tRNA from 1 species
UGUUGGUUAGCUCGGUGGUUAGAGCUCAGGUCUCGUAACCGGAAGGUCCCGGGCUCGAGCCCCGCUAGAGGUAG